rnacentral:rRNA from 1 species
CAGUCGCCACGGUAAUACGGAGGGGGCUAGCGUUGUUCGGAAUUACUGGGCGUAAAGCGCACGUAGGCGGCUUGGUAAGUUAGAGGUGAAAGCCUGGAGCUCAACUCCAGAAUUGCCUUUAAGACUGCCGAGCUAGCAGGUGAGAGAGGUAAGUGGAAUUCCGAGUGUAGAGGUGAAAUUCGUAGAUGUCGGAAGGAACACCUGUGGCGAAGGCGACUAUCUGGGCCAACACUGACACUGAGGCACGAAAGCGUGGGGAGCAAACAGGAUUAGAUACCCCCGUAGUCCCUGUCUCUUAUAC